rnacentral:hammerhead_ribozyme from 1 species
AUCCAUUUGACGAAUCCCAAAUAGGACGAAACUCGUGUCUUAGAU